UACGUAGGGGGCAAGCGUUGUCCGGAAUCAUUGGGCGUAAAGCGCGUGUAGGCGGUUCGGUAAGUCCGCUGUGAAAGUCGGGGGCUCAACCCUCGGAUGCCGGUGGAUACUGUCGGGCUUGAGUACGGAAGAGGCGAGUGGAAUUCCUGGUGUAGCGGUGAAAUGCGCAGAUAUCAGGAGGAACACCAGUGGCGAAGGCGCCGCUCUGGGCCGUGACUGACGCUGAGGAGCGAAAGCGUGGGUAGCAAACAGG
rnacentral:rRNA from 1 species